AGAGUUUGAUCCUGGCUCAGGAUGAACGCUGGCGGCGUGCCUAACACAUGCAAGUCGAGCGAUUUACUUCGGUAAAGAGCGGCGGACGGGUGAGUAACGCGUGGGUAACCUGCCUCAUACACAUGGAUAACAUACCGAAAGGUAUGCUAAUACAAGAUAAUAUAAGAGAUUCGCAUGAAUUUCUUAUCAAAGCUCCGGCGGUAUGAGAUGGACCCGCGUCUGAUUAGCUAGUUGGUAAGGUAACGGCUUACCAAGGCGACGAUCAGUAGCCGACCUGAGAGGGUGAUCGGCCACAUUGGAACUGAGACACGGUCCAAACUCCUACGGGAGGCAGCAGUGGGGAAUAUUGCACAAUGGGCGAAAGCCUGAUGCAGCAACGCCGCGUGAGCGAUGAAGGCCUUCGGGUCGUAAAGCUCUGUCCUCAAGGAAGAUAAUGACGGUACUUGAGGAGGAAGCCCCGGCUAACUACGUGCCAGCAGCCGCGGUAAUACGUAGGGGGCUAGCGUUAUCCGGAUUUACUGGGCGUAAAGGGUGCGUAGGUGGUUUCUUAAGUCAGGAGUGAAAGGCUACGGCUUAACCGUAGUAAGCUCUUGAAACUGGGAAACUUGAGUGCAGGAGAGGAAAGUGGAAUUCCUAGUGUAGCGGUGAAAUGCGUAGAUAUUAGGAGGAACACCAGUAGCGAAGGCGGCUUUCUGGACUGUAACUGACACUGAGGCACGAAAGCGUGGGGAGCAAACAGGAUUAGAUACCCUGGUAGUCCACGCCGUAAACGAUGAGUACUAGGUGUCGGGGGUUACCCCCCUCG
rnacentral:rRNA from 1 species